GACGAACGCUGGCGGCGUGCUUAACACAUGCAAGUCGAACGGAAAGGCCCUGCUUUUGUGGGGUGCUCGAGUGGCGAACGGGUGAGUAACACGUGAGUAACCUGCCCUUGACUUUGGGAUAACUUCAGGAAACUGGGGCUAAUACCGGAUAGGAGCUCCUGCUGCAUGGUGGGGGUUGGAAAGUUUCGGCGGUUGGGGAUGGACUCGCGGCUUAUCAGCUUGUUGGUGGGGUAGUGGCUUACCAAGGCUUUGACGGGUAGCCGGCCUGUGAGGGUGACCGGCCACAUUGGGACUGAGAUACGGCCCAGACUCCUACGGGAGGCAGCAGUGGGGAAUAUUGCGCAAUGGGCGGAAGCCUGAUGCAGCAGCGCCGCGUGCGGGAUGACGGCCUUCGGGUUGUAAACCGCUUUCGCCUGUGACGAAGCGUGAGUGACGGUAAUGGGUAAAGAAGCACCGGCUAACUACGUG
rnacentral:rRNA from 1 species